AAGCCGACUCCAUGAGGAGUGCAGAGCCUGAAGCAGGGCUCUAUCCCAGGACCCUGAGAUCAUGACCUGAGCCGCAAUCAAGAAUUGGAUGCUCAACCGACUAAGCCACCCAGGCACCCUGAGUUUUAUAACUUCUAAGAUUCUGUGUUACUAAGACAAAAACCGGAACCACUGGGCUCAAUUUGAUGGAGUCAAGUGCCACUGUUAGGUAUUCAAGCACACUGGGGGGAUCUGACCUGCUGGAACAUUUUGCACUCCUAGCUGCAUAGUCUUAGACAAAUGCCUGAAUGCCUCUGUCUCCUCAUCUGCAAGAGAGGGACAAAAUUCUGCUCUAUCAUCUAGGAGUCAGCUGCACACAAUAGAAAAUCCCAAGUAAGAUGGCUUAAACCAGAGAGAAGUCUAUUCCUCCUGUGUCCAAGCUGCCCAGACCUCAGGCCCACAGCUGGUGUGGCAGUCCUCGGGGUGACAGGGGCAGCCUCCACCACGGGAAGCUCACUUUCCUGCAUUACCUCCUGGUGUAAGAGGGCUUCCAGAGGGGAUCCCUGGGUGGCUCAGUGGUUUAGCACCUGCCUUUGGCCCAGGGCACAAUCCUGGAGUCCUGGGAUCGAGUUCCACGUCGGGUGAGAAAUCACCAGUCCCUGGUGAGAAAUCUACACACACAGGGAGAUUACCUUGCUCAUUCCUUCUUUGAUUGGGGGUGAAUCCUUCUGUGUUCCCCUCCAUUUAAAGACAGUUGCUGGAAGUUGCAUGAAUCACAUCUUCUGGACAGUGGGUGAGAACUUCGUCAUCUGGCCGCCCCUUGGCUGGGAGAGAGGCUGGGAAGUCGUCUUGCCAGAUGGAUGCUGGGAAAUAAGCAAGACUGCGCCACAAUCUGUUUCACUGGGCAACUGUAAGGAAGGGCUCCUCUAAAAGAACUUUCCUGUGAGGCUCCUGUGAGUCUACAAUCUCCUAGGAAUCUUCCACUGACCUUCAAAGCCACAGAGUAAGUGGGCAUUAAAAUGCCUGUUUCCUCCUCCAUAGUCUUAGAAAAGCAGACUUUGGGAAUUCUCAAAAAUAGAAAAAUAUCACAUAAGUGUAAUGAACUGCAUGCACUGCAACAAAUGCUUACCUUUUGGGCACAAAGACCAUAAUGAUACAAUCAUAAAUCUAUGAUUCUGAUUUGGAUGAAUAGAAACUACAAACAUAUGCUUUAUUGUAUGAAAAAACAAUUACUAUACACAAGAGUCAGUAGAAAUGUCAGAUAUAACAAUCAGACCUAAAGUUUCUGAGGGUAGAUCUUAAAAGUUCUUAUCACAAGAAAAAAAAAAUGUAACUAUGUGUGGUGAUAGAUGUUAAUUAGACUUAUUGUGAUUAUUUCACAAUAUAUAUAAAUAUCAAAUCAUUAUGUUGUACACCUGAAGCUAAUGUUAUAUGUCAAUUAUAUCUCAAUAAUAAUAAUAAGCAAGAAGAAGAGAAUCAGACCUGAUAAAAUUAAGCUAUGGCAAUUAUUGGAUCCAAAACCAGCAAACACCUAUAACAGUGUCUGUGAG
rnacentral:lncRNA from 1 species